rnacentral:rRNA from 1 species
AUUGAACGCUGGCGGCAUGCCUUACACAUGCAAGUCGAACGGCAGCACGGGAGCAAUCCUGGUGGCGAGUGGCGAACGGGUGAGUAAUAUACCGGAAUGUGCCCAGUCGUGGGGGAUAACGUUGCGAAAGCUACGCUAAUACCGCCUACGAUCUAUGGAUGAAAGCGGGGGAUCGCAAGACCUCGCGCGAUUGGGGCGUGCGAUAUCAGAGUAGGUAGUUGGUGAGGAAAAGGCUCACCAAGCCGACGAUGUGUAGCUGGUCUGAGGGGAGGACCGGCGACACUGGGACUGAGACAUGGCCCAGACUCCUACGGGAGGCGGCAGUUGGGAAUUUUGGACAAUGGGCGCAAGCCUGAUCCAGCAAUGCCGCGUGCAGGAUGAAGGCCUUCGGGUUGUAAACUGCUUUUGUACGGAGCGAAAAGGCUUCCACUAAUACUGGGGGCUCAUGACGGUACCGUAAGAAUAAGCACCGGCUAACUACGUGCCAGCGGCCGCAGUAACAC